GUCCCCAUAGCUCAACGGAUAGAGCGCUUCCCUGCGAAGGAAGAAAUUGGAGGUUCAAUUCCUCCUGGGGACA
rnacentral:tRNA from 1 species